CAGAGUUGAAUUCACUGAGAGAUGCCUAUUCACUGUACGUUUUAUUUAAUUAACAGCCAGUUUUUUAUAUUUCUGUGGCAGUAGCCGAUCCUUGCCAGUAACAAGUAUCCAACGUUUGCUAGGCGGUAUUUUAAGACAAUUAAAUGAACAAUUAAACGUUUGACAGUAUACGAGACCCUAAUACCAGUUUUGUGGCUCUCUGGCAUUUGUGGGGUUGUGUAAACAUAGGUUCCAUCAAAAAUUGAAACGGUGUGUGGUAUAAUAUGAUAUAUUGUAUAAUCAUCAUGCAAAUCAUAAAUACCUUACUUUUUAAAAACGUCUUCCUGGCAACUUUUGUUCAAAAUCUAAAAUUGCGCCCAAAUUAGUUAGAUAUUUAAUCUCACAAAAUUAAUAAAAAUGUAAUUUGGUAAAAAAUUACAUUCAGAUUUGUUUAGAAUCCCUAUGUAAAUGAUACCCAAUGCAAAAAAGUGGUAUUUAAAUUUUUGAAGUGGAGGUUACACCAACUUUGUGUGGCAUAAUACAUAAAUUAAAUAUUAGAAACCAAACCAUUGCAAUAAUCUAUAAGAUUAAUAAACUUACCGUUACAAGUAAAUUCUUUUCUUUUUCACAUAUGAUUCCAGAGUAUAAUUUAACAAAUUUCUCAUUACAGAAAACUAAGAACAUACAAUAUUCAAGAACUGAUACAAUAUUGUUAUUUAGAGAACUAACAGGAAUGAGCCUACAUAGAAAAGCAUUAGAGGUAUUAUAGUAAGGGUAGAGUUAUCAUGAGGUGUAAAUUUUAAAAACUUUAAAUAUUAUUGAAUAUUAGAUACUUUAUUCACAUAAAUAGUAUUUAGGUAUUUAUUUAUAAUGUUUAGUAUGAGAAUAAAUGUUGACGAUGGAGCUUGUAUUGGAUACUGUUAACUUAAUUACAUUUAAAACACAUAAAUCAAUACAUAAAACUUUUAUUUUCGUUGACCUAUCGAUAGCAAGGCUAUCUUCGUCAGGCAGACCAUGCGUCACAACUUUUUGAUGUGUCUAACAAAGAUAGCCUUGCUAUCGAAAGGCCUCACAAAAAUAAAAGUUUUAAUUAUUGGUUUGUGCGUUUUACAUGUAAUUAUGAUAUUAAACGUUUACACUUCUGAAUAUACAGGGUGGCCAUGUCCUAGUGUAAACAUUUGCGGUGGGUGAUAAUGCAACAUAAAUGUUACACAAAUACUGAAAUUAAAAGUUUGUAUUACUCACACAAAUUGUAAGAAUCUUUAUUAUCGGUUUUUAUAAAAAAUUUACAUAUUGAAAAAGAUGUAAAUUUCUGUACCGUUUAUAAAUAGUUAAGUAAUCUGAGAGGCAUAGUUUUGUUGGAUUAGAGCAAUUAUCCUUAGAAAAUAGGCUUCCAGGAGCAAUGUGUAAAAUUGAAUAAUUUGUUAUCGAACACAUUCGGGCUCUCAAUAGUCACAGAUCCUCGGCUCGUGAUCAGCGAGGGGAGCGGCGUGAACUAGUUGUACAUCGAGUAACUUAUCUGUCUUACCAAGGAGUGACUUGCGCUGCUACUUUUCUGACAGUUUCAGAUUCCAGACGCUGCACUAAGAGGAAGGUGAACUGGAGCUAAACACAACAUUCACAUAUAUGGUAAUAUUCUUACUAGGAACAUACCUAAUAAAAGCUAUGAUUAUUUUAAUUGAUAAGAGCCUAACAUGUUCUGUGUGCGCGUACGGUAUGUAACUACUGAUAGUAAUGUAGAGAGUUAAAACUCGGUAUGAAUGUUCCUCAAGAAAGGACACUUAAAAAAAUAAAACUAGAAUCACGUAAUUUGUACGUUACUCUGCUAACUGAAUCGAAAAAAUCCCAGAAAAUCACGUUUUUGAAAGCAAAUUUAGUAACAAUUACAUGACAUUUAAUCAGGUGACGUAGUAACACGUGCUUUUUGGAUUGUUUUAGUAAAUCUUUCAUUACUUGUCUGCAUUUCGAUACUCUAUUGUAUCAGUGUACGUAAUAUAUGUGGGCUAAAAACUAGCAUAUAAGUUUCCUGUAAGCGUUUUGGCUUACCAAUCGCUGUAAAAACUUACAAAGUAUAAUGCUUUGUAGUCAAAAUAAUGAAUAAUUUUUAUUGUUUAUUUACUAGCCAAUUUUACCUUUUUGGAAACUAGUUUCAAGAAUAUGUGUUAUUCCUGUGCAACUUCACUCCAAGAAGAUCUCGUCAAAGACCGAGGAGCGUAGAAUAGACCCACCCUCCAUUACAAUAAUGAAAGCUACUCUAGAGGUCUUUGUCAGGGUAAUCAAAGUGGCCAGGACGUGACGUCAGACAAAGACGUACAAAGGUGUGUUUGCUUAUUGUACUCGUAUGUCGGCUACACGAUUGUUCUGUUUUGCUUGGAUAAGGAAAUGGUUUCUUUGAGUAUUCAGAAUGAAGCAACUACUAAAACUUCAAACUUACAAUAAUUACUGAUAGUCAAAAGCUGUACAUUUGAGUGUUAAUAUUAUAUGUACUUUUCAAAAUA